CUGAACCCUGUUGAACCUUGAUCUUGGACUUCCCAGCCUCCAGAACCGUGAGAAAAUAAAUUUCUGUUUUUUGAUCUACCCAAUCUAUGGCACUUGUUUAUGGCAGCCUGUGCUGACUAAGACACUUACCACCACGCUUCAGGCACAUGCAGACUUGCACACAGGGGCAAUGGGGAAAAGGGCUACAAAUCAAGAGGAACAGAAACUCCACCCUGAUUUGAGGUCCCGAAACAUGGGGAGCAGUGGUAUGUGGUGUAUGAGUGAGUGGUGCCUAGAUCCCCAGACAGGAGCACUGAAAUUCAGUGUUGGGUUGGUGGAAGCAACAACUGUUUUCCAGCAGGGGGUCAUUUGUGUUUUAAACUAAAGCCACAUUUCUGAGCAAAUUGCUGAAUUUUUCUGUAGUACGGCUGGCUCGAUUGAACUGUGAGAAGCUGAGUUGUCGAAGCAAGAAACAGCGUGUUUCUUUUUUUAGUGGUCAAGUUCUGCAGAGGAUGUCUGCAGCAGAUGGGAUUAUUUCUGCACCUUCUUCAGCUAUGUUUUUUUUCCUGUUUUCUUAGCACUAGAAGUAAAUUAAAAAUUGAAGUCCAUUUAGAAAUUAAGCUAUUUUUCUUUCCAUUUUGUUUUUUAAGUAUUGCUGUUGCUGCUUCAGACUAUAUCACCUUAGCAGUCAAUGCAUCAAGAUAGAAUGAGAAACCACAGACUUGGGGAUUGCUUCCUGCAAGAGGCUUCACCAAGCUUGCUUCCCCAAGCUGCCCAGGAAAACAUUUGGUUUCCAGAUACUGUAUAUGACAAGGCCCUUGUUCUCUCUUGUGGCCUAUGUGACCUGAGCUAUGGAUGCUUCUGGGGUAUGGUCAGAGGUACUUGCUAUGGACAGUUUUCCAACUGGCUUCAGAAUGCUGAUGCUUUCACCAGGAACACUAAUGCCUAAAGUUUUUGUUGGACCAAGACAACAUUACAGAUGCUGAAUCUCUCCUUGUGACAAUGCUGCAGAUGCCUGCACUCAGACUAUGACACUGCCUCAAAGAUAGUGCAUCAUAUUACUGCCAAAGCUGUUGGCACCAAUGCUGCUGAUUCUUUGGCUUUCAAUGUCCUGUGGAGAUUUUCUCUGUUUACUGCAGCCUCCUUGAUAAAGGAUUUGGGCUUAAGUCUGAGUCCUGGCUUAAAAUACAAUCUGAUAUAAACUAUGCUAUACUUAAAGUCUACUUUCCCCCAUCUUCAAACACUGGUCUAUUUUUACUGAAUCAAAUUUGUUCAUCUUGGUUCCUCCCAUACGAUUUUUUUCCCAGAAGAAUCCUUAGAUCCUGGUAAAAUAUCCUUCCCAGCCCCACAAAUUAUCCUGAUAAUGUUCAAACUGUGUCUGGAGCCCCUGCCACAUCCUUCCCCUCCCUGUUCCACACCAGGGUUGUUUUUGCCCGCCGCCCAGAAAGCCAAACACUGAGAUGAUGAGAUUGCAGCAGAGAGAGGGUUUUAAUCACAAGACAGCCAUGUGAGGAAGCAAGGGAAUGAGUCUUAAAUCCACUUCUCUGAAAAUGGGGACUCAGGGAUGUUUAUGGGAUAGGGGGGCAAGGUCAUCUGAAAUUUGGAGAUAGAUGAUUAGAGGUGAGGAGAGAUGAGGUAAUUGAUGAUCUGCGCAAGCGUGGUCAGACUCCAUGCCUCUUCAUAGGAUGCAUGUUCACAAAAGUGGUGGCAUUAGCAUGAUCUGAGGUUGAAGUUUUUAGCCUCUUAACAUCAAAAAGUCACUUAUCGGACAUCUGUGCAGGCCAAGUUGAUGAGUUGGUGGUUUCAACCAGUCUGAAGUGGACAAGGGGUUCUAAUUCCUAAAAAACAGCUCACACACCCAGUACUAUGGUGACCCAGGCUCCAGGGAGAUGUUAUCCAUAGUAACAUGGUGGGAGACAGAUAGCAUGUUGCCUAAGCAGCACAGUUAA
rnacentral:lncRNA from 1 species